rnacentral:rRNA from 1 species
UACGUAGGGUGCAAGCGUUAAUCGGAAUUACUGGGCGUAAAGCGUGCGCAGGCGGUUUUGUAAGUUUGUCGUGAAAGCCCCGGGCUCAACCUGGGAAUUGCGAUGAAGACUGCAAGGCUUGAAUCUGGCAGAGGGGGGUAGAAUUCCACGUGUAGCAGUGAAAUGCGUAGAUAUGUGGAGGAAUACCGAUGGCGAAGGCAGCCCCCUGGGAUAACACUGACGCUCAUGCACGAAAGCGUGGGGAGCAAACAGG